CUACGGGUCGCUCCAGUGGGGAAUAUUGCACAAUGGGCGCAAGCCUGAUGCAGCCAUGCCGCGUGUAUGAAGAAGGCCUUCGGGUUGUAAAGUACUUUCAGCGGGGAGGAAGGGAGUAAAGUUAAUACCUUUGCUCAUUGACAUUACCCGCAGAAGAAGCACCGGCUAACUCCGUGCCAGCAGCCGCGGUAAUACGGAGGGUGCAAGCGUUAAUCGGAAUUACUGGGCGUAAAGCGCACGCAGGCGGUUUGUUAAGUCAGAUGUGAAAUCCCCGGGCUCAACCUGGGAACGGCAUCUGAUACUGGCAAGCUUGAGUCUCGUAGAGGGGGGUAGAAUUCCAGGUGUAGCGGUGAAAUGCGUAGAGAUCUGGAGGAAUACCGGUGGCGAAGGCGGCCCCCUGGACGAAGACUGACGCUCAGGUGCGAAAGCGUGGGGAGCAAACAGGAUUAGAUACCGAGUAGUC
rnacentral:rRNA from 1 species